UAGGGAAUCUUCCACAAUGGACGCAAGUCUGAUGGAGCAACGCCGCGUGAGUGAAGAAGGGUUUCGGCUCGUAAAGCUCUGUUGUUAAAGAAGAACGUGGGUAAGAGUAACUGUUUACCCAGUGACGGUAUUUAACCAGAAAGCCACGGCUAACUACGUCNCA
rnacentral:rRNA from 1 species